GGAGCAUGUGGCUUAAUUUGACUCACGCGGGGAUCUUACUAGGUCCGGACCGAUUCUAUGAUCGUCGUACUGUGGGGUGCUACGUGAUUACUGGAUGAGUGGUGCAUGGCCGUUCUUAGUUCGUGGUGUUAAUUGUCUACUUAAUUGUCAUCAGUUUAAUACAUGUAUUGAACUAUGAACGAACGAGAUCGAGACCCGUGGUUGCGUAUGUUUGAAUUCGGUAUUACUACGGGGAUCGCGUAWUACUCCACGGUACGAUCGAAAGACUCGGCAAUAACAGGUCUGUGAUGCCCUCAGAUGUUCUAGGCUGCACACGUGCUACAGUGUGGCGUUGUAUCGUGUGUGUAUGCAGAGAACUGAUAAGAUCCCCCGCACCGAGUCAUAACUGGUCACACGGUGGACUCACCGAUUGCCAAUUAUUCCGCAUACUAA
rnacentral:rRNA from 1 species